GUCACGAUCAGAAUGAAAGGUAGUUCGCUGGGCCUUUAUUUGGAUCCCAGAGGUGCUGGUUCGACUCCAGCUCGUGAUAAGGCUUUUUUUUUCUCACUUUGUCUCGCUUGUUCUUAUUCAGUUCCUUUGUCCUUCCAUCGCUCAACUAUUUGUUGAACAUUGAAUUCGCCCGAUAUAAGAUUAGUACCAACUGGGAUCAUAAAGCGGAUUGGGCUAACGGAAAGGGAGGAGUCAGUCGUUCUGCCAUCGAUUACAGGCAAACCUUCCCCGAGCUACAGCCCUCACUGUCGAUUCAAGACACAACUACCUGUACCACAACCACUGGCAUAUGCGGUAUGCGGGUGUCAGGUCUAGGUCUAGAUGGAGGUUCUCGUUCCAGUUCCAUUUCUAGUUCAGGUUAUGGUUCGAGUGGAGAAGCAGAGAGGGCAUCCCUUCCCUAAGUUGGUUAGAUCGCCCGAACGAAGGAAGCUGUCUUGUCUCGCAAUGGCAGAAGAAAGAGAUAUCAUUGCCAAUCGGGAGGAAAGGUAGAGUAAUUUACCUCUUUCUCCCUAUCGAUCUUUGACCCGAUUCUGCUCCCCGGGCCUUAGCAGCCCACCCCAUAACCCGCUUCCCUCGACUGCCUUCAGAUUCAGAGAAGAGGAGGGGGAUUUCGAAGAAUGGAAAUUCUAUUCCUAAAGGUAGUUGACUUGCUUACUUGUUAGAGUCAGGAAUCCUGGUUUUCUCCUUGGUUAGGAAAUGGCUCCAAAGGGGACGACCUGUGCCUCUAUCCUGACGAGGUUAUCGUCACCGAUGGUAGUCGUGAGUUCGCGGAGUACACAACCUUAAGGUCGUGGGUCCGACAAUGGCUUAACUACGUCAAGUGGUACUACAUGGUUGCAGUAUCUCCAGGCGUAACCAUCCAGGAUCUCUUAGACGCACCAUUCGUGAACCGGAAAUGGCAGGUUGAAUCGACCGACUCUCAGUUGGUCCGGUUCGGCCUUGUCUGGAAGGUUUUCGAUUUGGUUGCCCUAAGGCUAAGGUGGCCUGUUAAGCCAAUGUCCUAGUCGCUGCAGCGAUUACGGAUACCUCUCAGGCAUCUCUACUCUGUGAGUCCCGCAAAACGC